UGCUGAUUACUUUACAUCUACUGCGGGC
rnacentral:sRNA from 1 species